rnacentral:rRNA from 1 species
UGAGGAAUCUUCCACAAUGGGCGAAAGCCUGAUGGAGCAACGCCGCGUGAAGGAUGAAGGUCUUCGGAUUGUAAACUUCUUUUAUGAGUGAAGAAUAUGACGGUAACUCAUGAAUAAGCACCGGCUAACUACGUGCCAGCAGCCGCGGUCAUACGUAGGGUGCAAGCAUUAUCCGGAGUGACUGGGCGUAAAGAGUUGCGUAGGCGGUUAUGUAAGCGAAUAGUGAAACCUGGUGGCUCAACCACACAGACUAUUAUUCGAACUGCAUAACUCGAGAAUGGUAGAGGUAACUGGAAUUUCUUGUGUAGGAGUGAAAUCCGUAGAUAUAAGAAGGAACACCAAUGGCGUAGGCAGGUUACUGGGCCAUUUCUGACGCUAAGGCACGAAAGCGUGGGGAGCGAACCGG